rnacentral:rRNA from 1 species
GCAUAUCAAUAAGCGGAGGAAAAGAAACCAACAGGGAUUGCCUUAGUAACGGCGAGUGAAGCGGCAAAAGCUCAAAUUUGAAAUCUGGCACCUUCGGUGUCCGAGUUGUAAUUUGAAGAAGGUAACUUUGAGUUUGGUCCUUGCAUAUGUUCCUUGGAACAGGACGUCAUAGAGGGUGAGAAUCCCGUUCUGUGAGGUGGCCAUUCUCUUGUAAAGUGCUUUCGAAGAGUCGAGUUGUUUGGGAAUGCAGCUCUAAGUGGGUGGUAAAUUCCAUCUAAAGCUAAAUAUUGGCGAGAGACCGAUAGCGAACAAGUACAGUGAUGGAAAGAUGAAAAGAACUUUGAAAAGAGAGUGAAAAAGUACGUGAAAUUGUUGAAAGGGAAGGGCUUGAAAUCAGACUUGGUAUUCAGUGAUCAGCUUUCUUUCGGGAUUGUGCACUCGCUGUUUUACUGGGCCAGUAUCGGUUUUGACGGUGAGAUAAUGGUGUUGGAAUGUGGCUCCUCGGAGUGUUAUAGCCUUCAUUGAUAUCACCAGUCGGGACCGAGGACCGCGCUUUAUAGCUAGGAUACUGGCGUAAUGAUUUUAAGCCACCCGUCUUGAAACACGGACCAAGGAGUCUAACGUCUAUGCGAGUGUUUGGGUGUAAAACCCGUACGCGUA